rnacentral:rRNA from 1 species
CCUACGGGAGGCAGCAGUGAGGAAUAUUGCACAAUGGGCGCAAGCCUGAUGCAGCAACGCCGCGUGAGGGACGACGGCCUUCGGGUUGUAAACCUCUUUUAGUAGGGAAGAAGCGAAAGUGACGGUACCUGCAGAAAAAGCACCGGCUAACUACGUGCCAGCAGCCGCGGUAAUACGUAGGGUGCAAGCGUUGUCCGGAAUUAUUGGGCGUAAAGAGCUCGUAGGCGGUUUGUCGCGUCUGCUGUGAAAACCCGAGGCUCAACCUCGGGCCUGCAGUGGGUACGGGCAGACUAGAGUGCGGUAGGGGAGAUUGGAAUUCCUGGUGUAGCGGUGGAAUGCGCAGAUAUCAGGAGGAACACCGAUGGCGAAGGCAGAUCUCUGGGCCGUAACUGACGCUGAGGAGCGAAAGCAUGGGGAGCGAACAGGAUUAGAUACCCUGGUAGUCCAUGCCGUAAACGUUGGGAACUAGAUGUAGGGACCAUUCCACGGUUUCUGUGUCGCAGCUAACGCAUUAAGUUCCCCGCCUGGGGAUACGGCCGCAAGGCUAAAACUUAAUGAAUUGACGG